rnacentral:rRNA from 1 species
AUACGGAGGAUCCGAGCGUUAUCCGGAUUUAUUGGGUUUAAAGGGAGCGUAGGCGGACGCUUAAGUCAGUUGUGAAAGUUUGCGGCUCAACCGUAAAAUUGCAGUUGAUACUGGGUGUCUUGAGUACAGUAGAGGCAGGCGGAAUUCGUGGUGUAGCGGUGAAAUGCUUAGAUAUCACGAAGAACUCCGAUUGCGAAGGCAGCCUGCUGGACUGUAACUGACGCUGAUGCUCGAAAGUGUGGGUAUCAAACAGGAUUAGAUACCCUGGUAGUCCUCACAGUAAACGAUGAAUACUCGCUGUUUGCGAUAUACAGUAAGCGGCCAAGCGAAAGCGUUAAGUAUUCCACCUGGGGAGUACGCCGGCAACGGUGAAACUCAAAUGAAUUGACGGGG